UACAGAGGGUGCAAGCGUUGUUCGGAAUUACUGGGCGUAAAGGGCGUGUAGGCGGUUUGAUAAGUCAGAUGUUAAAGACCCGGGCUUAACCCGGGGGCUGCGUUUGAAACUGUCAGACUAGAGAGCAGGAGGGGAGAAUGGAAUUUCCGGUGUAGAGGUAAAAUUCGUAGAUAUCGGAAGGAACACCAGUGGCGAAGGCGAUUCUCUGGACUGCAACUGACGCUGAGGCGCGAAAGCGUGGGGAG
rnacentral:rRNA from 1 species